rnacentral:lncRNA from 1 species
UUGGAACUCACUAGCGCUCAAGACUAGAACUCACACCAGAAAGAAAAGUAGCUACGGAGACAAGCAAAUAUGGCGCCGAACGCCAGACGCACAGACGUCGUUUGUUUUUCUAUUGCUUUGCCGUCAUUUUCUCUAUUAGCAGUACAUGGAGUAUUUAUAGCUUGAGGACGUGAAGCAACGGACUGCACGCAGCCACUACUCCUGCUCACGAUCCGCACCACUCGGCCAACGCAUUGGACGCGGCAAACGCGCACGUCCUGACCAAGCCAACAACGGAUCACGGCAUCUCAGCAUGCAGCUUCACGCGUCGCACGAACCAAGCUGCUGACUGUGAUUACCGCACAACGCACGCCUUCAUACACGUGCAUGCUAACAAACUUGCACUCGCGCCGUGCACGCACACGAACGCGACACACGCUAACCACGGCAACAUGCAGACACACGCACACACAUCGACCUGACCAGCGCACACACACCCGGUGUCGAGUUUAUUCCUAACAAUCUCCCCCUAAACACGGCACGGCUUUCUGCACUCACAGGAGCGUCGCCUCCUCUUCGGCAUUGGCAAAUAGUGCCUCUUCCUUCUUCGGCUUGGGGCAGUCCCGUGCAAAGUGGCCGCGGUUGCCACAGUUGAAGCAUUUGCCGAUCGUCGACUUCUUCUUUUUUCGAGCUUUCCACUCGGCCUCCGUGAGGAGGAGCUGAUCGUCGCGCCGUUCACCACCGGCAUGAGUACGCCGCCGAGAACGCUCAUCGAACGCCUUGAGACGUCCGAGCGCCUCCUCGAACGGCAUCGUCUCGACGUCGCAGAACUGCUCGAUGCCCGCGACGACGGGGAAGAGCCGAUCUGGAACGGUGUCGAGGAGCUUCUUCACCAUGGCAGCGUCGUCGAGCGUCGCGCCAAGCCCGGCGUAACGCGCCGCCAUACCGCUGAUUUUGCCUGCGUAGUCGUCCAAUGCCUCCUCGUCCUCCAUGUACAGCUUGUCGAACUCCCCCUUGAGCGUGGCGAGGCGUGCCGUCUUGACCCGAUCCGCACCGACGAAACGAGUCUUGAGGCUCGCCCACACCUCCGCUGCUGUUUUCUUGGUGGAGACCUGCAUCAAGAUGUCAUCGGGCAGAGCUUGGAGAAGCUGUGCCCGCGCCGUCUUGUUCUUCACCGCAUUCACCUCGCCAUUAUCUGGUGGAGACACGGCCUCCCAGAGACCUUGCGCGUCGAGGAUCGACUCCACCUUGAUCGCCCACGCCGUGUAGCUCGCCGGCGACAGCACCGGGUAUGACAUGGAGACCGAACUCCCCCCGGCGCCGUGCGGAACCAUCGCCAUGGACUCUGACUCGAGGUAGUAGCGCAGGAUCUUGGGCAUAAAAUGGCUCUGAUACCAAAUGUUGGAACUCACUAGCGCUCAAGACUAGAACUCACACCAGAAAGAAAAGUAGCUACGGAGACAAGCAAAUAUGGCGCCGAACGCCAGACGCACAGACGUCGUUUGUUUUUCUAUUGCUUUGCCGUCAUUUUCUCUAUUAGCAGUACAUGGAGUAUUUAUAGCUGGAGGACGUGAAGCAACGGACUGCACGCAGCCACUACUCCUGCUCACGAUCCGCACCACUCGGCCAACGCAUUGGACGCGGCAAACGCGCACGUCCUGACCAAGCCAACAACGGAUCACGGCAUCUCAGCAUGCAGCUUCACGCGUCGCACGAACCAAGCUGCUGACUGUGAUUACCGCACAACGCACGCCUUCAUACACGUGCAUGCUAACAAACUUGCACUCGCGCCGUGCACGCACACGAACGCGACACACGCUAACCACGGCAACAUGCAGACACACGCACACACAUCGACCUGACCAGCGCACACACACCCGGUGUCGAGUUUAUUCCUAACAA